rnacentral:tRNA from 1 species
AAGUGUGUAGCUCAGUGGCAGAGCAUUGGACUUUUAAUCCAUUGGUCUUGAGUUCGAACCUCAAUACACUUA